UGGGGAAUUUUGCGCAAUGGGGGAAACCCUGACGCAGCAACGCCGCGUGGAGGAUGAAAUCCCUUGGGAUGUAAACUCCUUUCGAUAGGGAAGAUUAUGACGGUACCUAUAGAAGAAGCCCCGGCUAACUUCGUGCCAGCAGCCGCGGUAAUACGAGGGGGGCAAGCGUUGUUCGGAUUUAUUGGGCGUAAAGGGUGCGUAGGCGGUUUGGCAAGUCUUGUGUGAAAUCUUCGGGCUCAACCCGAAGCCUGCACAAGAAACUGCCGGGCUUGAGUAUGGGAGAGGUGAGUGGAAUUUCCGGUGUAGCGGUGAAAUGCGUAGAUAUCUGGAGGAACACCGGUGGCGAAGGCGGCAUCCUGGACCGGUAUUGACGCUGAGGCGCGAAAGCUAGGGGAGCAAAC
rnacentral:rRNA from 1 species